GUUGUGUAAAAGGGGCUGAAGUCCUGCGCUGCGUCCUCCACUGCUGCUGCUGCUCAGAAAAGUAGGUUCCCUACCGAAGCCGUAACACGGUUUAAGGUGUUAUAACCUUAAAAACCCGACAUCCACGUUUUCCACGACACGCCCUGGUGAGGGUCCGGGUCUCCGCCGGAGCAGCGGUCGGGCAGCCUGAACUCCGCUGGACCGUCCAGACGGGUUGGCCGAGCUGGAGCGACCCGGCCGGUGGUCAAGGAAUAUGUGAACCUAAAGCAGACGAAGGAAGGAGGAGUCGUCGUUAAAGCCGGCUGUCAUUCACUCCGGCCUGGUUCGAACUCUCCCGCUCUCCGGCUGACACACUCGGCCCCAAAUGGCUGACACACAGCAGUUCUUCACUGGCAAGCUUUAUGUUCCCGUACACAUGCUAAAGCUGCCAGCUGAAGAACUGCUCUGGUCAGCUCUGCCCCGGAUGACUCGAGAAGAGGAAGCGGAUCGAGGUUGCUGAGAAGAAGACUGAAGAAGAAGUGUUUCUCACGCUCAGUCAGACCGGCCAGUGUUUAUAAUCCGGUUUUAAACAAAUGUAAGGUGUAUUUUAUUUUAGGAAAUAGAGCAUGUUUAUUCUGUGGUCUUUUUCCUCACAAAAACCUGCUCACAUGUUGUCAUGUUUUGGUUUCUCACAGUGAAGAACACAUUAUUUCCUCAGACCAUUUCGUUUGUGUUUUUUUUGGUGGAAAAAACUGCACACUAUGAACAAUACACAACACACACACAAAGAAGCACACGAUAGAUUUAUGCAAAAAAUGUGUCACACGCAUCACUUUUAACUUUAAAGUCUCUGAUGAUCCAAUUGAAGGACAGUGGGAAAGAUCAGAGUAAAUUGAGAUGUUUAAAUAUAAAUGUCCUCAGAUAUGCAAUAACUUCUGAGUGUGGUGUUUGUUCUCACAUUAACAAGUCAGCAAGUUGACAUCGAGUCAGGACUGAAUGAAUCCAUGUUGAUUGUUGAAGUGAAACCAGAGGGUGAACACUUUUCUUCAAGGGGUUAUUAAUAUAGUAUCACCGGCUGCUUCAAUGGAUUCCUUCACAAACUACCAACUUUCCUCAACUCAUUGGAUGUGAAAACUGCAAUGCUUCUUCUUUAUUUAUUUGCCAUCAGCAUCAGGUUAAUUGAUUAAUUAUAUUACUGUCAUCUGGAUUGGUUGAAUAAAGGAAGCAUUUUGUGUCAAA